GCUCCAUACAAAUUACUUGUUUUAUAGACUUGCGGCCACUUCGACGACUCGAGGCCGUUUCUGUCCCCGGCCUCCAAAAACUGUAGUAAUUAACAAUUAUGUUAAUGUCAUGAUGAUUGCAUUCAAAGUAAAGGCUCUAAUUUGCCAGGUGAAGAUCAAUCAUUUAAGAAGACAUCUACUGCAUGCAACAACGAAUCACAGAUGCAGACACACAAAGAGUAAUUCAAAUAAACUACUCAGUUACAGGCCACCUGAUUGGACAAGCCACCUUAAAAUGAUUCCAUUAGUGAAAGUUAAGCUUUUUCAGCCAUUUACACCUAUUCAUAAAUGGAGUCUUCCAAAUAUACCAGAUGAUAUUGAUAUUUAUAUCAAGCGAGAUGACAUGACUGGAUCUGUUUUAUCAGGUAACAAGGUUAGAUGUCUAAUACUGUAU
rnacentral:lncRNA from 1 species